rnacentral:rRNA from 1 species
GACGAACGACUGGCGGCGUGCCUAAUACAUGCAAGUAGAACGCUGAAGGGAGAGCUUGCUCUUCUGGAUGAGUUGCGAACGGGUGAGUAACGCGUAGGUAACCUGCCUGGUAGCGGGGGAUAACUAUUGGAAACGAUAGCUAAUACCGCAUAACAUUGACUAUUGCAUGAUAGUUAAUUGAAAGGUGCAACUGCACCACUACCAGAUGGACCUGCGUUGUAUUAGCUAGUUGGUGGGGUAACGGCUCACCAAGGCGACGAUACAUAGCCGACCUGAGAGGGUGAUCGGCCACACUGGGACUGAGACACGGCCCAGACUCCUACGGGAGGCAGCAGUAGGGAAUCUUCGGCAAUGGACGGAAGUCUGACCGAGCAACGCCGCGUGAGUGAAGAAGGUUUUCGGAUCGUAAAGCUCUGUUGUAAGAGAAGAACGAGUGUGAGAGUGGAA